rnacentral:rRNA from 1 species
UACGUAGGUGACCAGCGUUGUCCGGAAUUACUGGGCGUAAAGAGCUCGUAGGUGGUUUGUCGCGUUGUUCGUGAAAACUCACAGCUCAACUGUGGGCGUGCGGGCGAUACGGGCAGACUGGAGUACUGCAGGGGAGACUGGAAUUCCUGGUGUAGCGGUGGAACGCGCAGAUAUCAGGAGGAACACCGGUGGCGAAGGCGGGUCUCUGGGCAGUAACUGACGCUGAGGAGCGAAAGCGUGGGGAGCGAACAGG